AAGUCGUAACAAGGUUUCCGUAGGUGAACCUGCGGAAGGAUCAUUACCUUUCCAUGCAGAAGGAUUGCGCAGGGCUUCGGCCCUCGCAAGCCUUCCUGUAUACCACCCUUGUCUUUUGCGCACUCAUGUUUCCUCGGCAGGCUUGCCUGCCGGUUGGACAAAACUUAUAACCUUUUUUAAUUUUCAAUCAGCGUCUGAAAUAAUUUUAAUAAUUACAA
rnacentral:misc_RNA from 1 species